AUUGAACGCUGGCGGCAUGCCUUACACAUGCAAGUCGAACGGUAACGCGGGGCAACCUGGCGACGAGUGGCGAACGGGUGAGUAAUAUAUCGGAACGUGCCCAGUAGUGGGGGAUAGCCCGGCGAAAGCCGGAUUAAUACCGCAUGAGACCUGAGGGUGAAAGCGGGGGAUCGCAAGACCUCGCGCUAUUGGAGCGGCCGAUAUCAGAUUAGCUAGUUGGUGGGGUAAAGGCCUACCAAGGCAACGAUCUGUAGUUGGUCUGAGAGGACGACCAGCCACACUGGGACUGAGACGCGGCCCAGACUCCUACGGGAGGCGGCAGUGGGGAAUUUUGGACAAUGGGCGCAAGCCUGAUCCAGCAAUGCCGCGUGCAGGAAGAAGGCCUUCGGGUUGUAAACUGCUUUUGUCAGGGAAGAAAUCUUCUGGGUUAAUACCUCGGGAGGAUGACGGUACCUGAAGAAUAAGCACCGGCUAACUACGUGCCAGCCGCCGCGGUAAGAC
rnacentral:rRNA from 1 species